rnacentral:misc_RNA from 1 species
AUAUAAUCUUUACGUUUAGGAAAAUAUCAUAAAAAAAUAAUAAAUUUAAAUAAUAUAAGAGAUUUAAAGAGUAAAGGAAGAUAAAGAGCCUUCCUCUUUUGUAAUGCUUAGUUCUUCUUUCUUUCCUUCUUAGUAUUGGUUGCCUUUGCCCCUUUCGAACAAGGGUGGCUCCUCCAUCGUCCGCCCAGUUGUGGAUUGCUCUCCCCUACCUCAAGGUGGGUUGUAAAUAGGAUUUUGUUCUUGAUUUUCAAUAGAUCUGCACUUCAAUUGAGAGAGAGUCUAUGUUAAAAUCUGUUUUUUUUUGCUUCUAAGUUUUUUUU